rnacentral:rRNA from 1 species
AUUGAACGCUGGCGGCAGGCCUAACACAUGCAAGUCGAACGGUAACAGGGAUCAGCUUGCUGAUUCGCUGACGAGUGGCGGACGGGUGAGUAAUGUCUGGGAAACUGCCUGAUGGAGGGGGAUAACUACUGGAAACGGUGGCUAAUACCGCAUAACGUCGCAAGACCAAAGAGGGGGACCUUCGGGCCUCUUGCCAUCGGAUGUGCCCAGAUGGGAUUAGCUAGUAGGUGGGGUAACGGCUCACCUAGGCGACGAUCCCUAGCUGGUCUGAGAGGAUGACCAGCCACACUGGAACUGAGACACGGUCCAGACUCCUACGGGAGGCAGCAGUGGGGAAUAUUGCACAAUGGGCGCAAGCCUGAUGCAGCCAUGCCGCGUGUAUGAAGAAGGCCUUCGGGUUGUAAAGUACUUUCAGCGGGGAGGAAGGGAGUAAGGUUAAUACCUUUGCUCAUUGACGUUACCCGCAGAAGAAGCACCGGCUAACUCCGUG